GAUGAACGCUAGCGGCAGGCUUAAUACAUGCAAGUCGAGGGACAGCACAGGUAGCAAUACUGGGUGGUAACCGGCAAACGGGUGCGGAACACGUACACAACCUUCCUUUAAGUGGGGGAUAGCCCAGAGAAAUUUGGAUUAAUACCCCGUAAUAUAGUUGAAUGGCAUCAUUUGAUUAUUAUAGCUACGGCGCUUAAUGAUGGGUGUGCGGCUGAUUAGAUAGUUGGCGGGGUAACGGCCCACCAAGUCAACGAUCAGUAGCUGAUGUGAGAGCAGGAUCAGCCACACGGGCACUGGGACACGGGCCCGACGCCUACGGGAGGCAGAAUUAAGGAAUAUUGGUCAAUGGACGCAAGUCUGAACCAGCCAUGCCGCGUGAAGGAUUAAGGUCCUCUGGAUUGUAAACUUCUUUUAUUUGGGACGAAAAAGGGCCUUUCUAGGUCAACUGACGGUACCAGAUGAAUAAGCACCGGCUAACUCCGUGCCAGCAGCCGCCGUAAUAC
rnacentral:rRNA from 1 species